UACGUAGGGGGCAAGCGUUGUCCGGAUUUAUUGGGCGUAAAGAGCGUGUAGGCGGUCUGGUAGGUCCGUUGUGAAAGCUCGAGGCUCAACCUCGAGACGCCGAUGGAAACCAUCAGACUAGAGUCCGGAAGAGGAGAGUGGAAUUCCUGGUGUAGCGGUGAAAUGCGCAGAUAUCAGGAAGAACACCCGUGGCUACGGCGGCUCUCUAGUACGGUACUGACGCUGAGACGCGAAAGCGUGGGGAGCGAACAGG
rnacentral:rRNA from 1 species